GGAGGGGGAGGUCAGGUGAGACAGCCACAAACAAAAGCUAUAAAAUGAUUCUAGGGAGCUUCCAGCUUCUCCUUGACUCACCUUUCCGACUGCACGCUUCAAUCGGAUCUGCCCGUCGGCCGUCGCUAAAUCAACUCCUGGCCUCGUUUUACAUGCGCUCACUGAAGAGUGAAGGCAGAAAAAUUCAGGCUAUUCCAGUUUCCUCCCUGCGCCCCCAUUAGGAAGUGGACCCAGGCCCUCAAUCUCUACAGGGCCACAACCCACCAAGUGAGGAUCAGCUGGAUCACAUCACGUCAGACAGGCAGAACAGAUCCCAAAUGAUGCCAAGGUGCGAGUUAUAUUUCAACAGCUGAUGAUUUUUGAUCACAACGAGACCCUUUCAAUCUCGAAAUUUACCCAGAAGUAACUUUAGCAAAAUCCACCAGCUUCAAGGUCCAGAAAGAUGCCAGAGUAAAACCAGGGACGAGGACGUUUGACCUGAAGUCCAACUAAUCGUCAGUGUGUCUGCUUGUAAGUGUCUUUUUACAUUGUGUGUCAUGCAUGGCUGCUAUAAAACAUCUAAAUGUUGUUUUUUCCAUAUACUACCAUAUACUUUAUUUUAGAUGAUGCUGUAGGAGUUUAUUGUAGUUUAACACAGUUAACUAAGACUAACUAAUGAAAUAUUUUUAUCUUGGACAUUCAUAAUAGUAGGAGUCAUAUGAUGAGUAUAGCUAUCAGGUCCCACCAACUCCUGCCUAGGCACCAGGCGUGAGUCACAAAGGGCUUUGUGCCUCAGUCUGUGUACAUUAGUCUUUUACUGAGCUCUGCAUCUGUCUGACAAGAAACAUGAGCAGUCACUUUGUGCGGAGGCGUUGACCCAGGGGCCUCUGAGUCGCAGACACGCAUUAAGCCGUGGCAACCAAAUAAUUAUAAUUGUAGUAAUAGGUUUUUAAACACAGGUGGAAAGUACUGGCAAGAAUUUAAUAGAAAUGUUUGUAAAAUAAUGUUACAGUUUUUCUUGAUUGCUUUGACCUGGUUAAAGAAACUAGGAUUCACUCAGUUUUCAUCAUCGCUGUCCCAGCAGAGCAGAAGACAUGUCUUCCAAAUGUGUAAACCCGUUCUCAUUGAAUUGACACGUUUUCUCCACUCUUUGGCAAAACUGUUAACACGGAUGUCAUUCAUUCCCAACUCCAUUGCUUUAGCUUUGGUGACGAAACAAAACCAUCUAAUCCUAACUAUUAAAAACCAGUAAGACCAGUAUGAAGUACCCGUUUGAAGGCCUUAAAUAAAACGAUGCCAGGUCUGUGAGAAGGCAGAGACUGAGUAUCAAUAGAGGCUAUAUUUAUAUUAUUAUAUAUUAUAUAAUAUUUUGUCUUCAUCUUUUAGCUACCUUGUCAUGGAUUCAAUAAAAUUACAUCAAAGCAUUUCUUCAUCUGAAUCCAAUUCUUUGCUGAAAGGCAAGUUUGACACAGCCUUUAUAGAA